UAAAUAGCCUCCAUAAAUAGUCCAAGAUGAAUGAAAUUCAGCAACUGACAACCCACCUUUAAGCUACAAUAACAAUGGUUCUUGAACUUUUUUAUGUCAUGUUAAUCCUGUGUUGUAUACAUAAUCUGGCAUUUGCACAGGACGAAAAUACUCGUAUAGCACCAUUUGGCUGCAAUUCCACAUGUGGAAAUGUUGAAAUCCCUUUCCCAUUUGGUAUGAACGAACCCAAUUAUUGCUAUGCAGACCACUGGUUCCAAAUAGAGUGUAGGCACGAUACACCUUACCUGAAAUCUAUAGGGCUGGAGGUCUCAUCAAUUGAUGUAUCAGAAGGCACGAUUGAAAUCAUGCAUCCAAUUCACCGUUGGAACUGCAAACCCCAACACAACGCUACGAAUACUGAGCAAGAAGUGGUUGACCUGAGAGGAAGCCCCUUCGUGUAUUCGCAGGAAAACAACAUGUUUGUGUCAGCUGGCUGCAAUGAAAUCUCUUUCUUGGUGUCCAACGGCACGCAAGUUAGCGGCUGCGUGUCAAUUUGCGACGACAAGAAGGACGUUGAGGAGAACAUUGAAAUCCAAAAUUGCAACGGCAAAUACUGCUGUGUGACCUCCUUGCCUUUGUAUCUCUCGGAAUUUAACGUCACAACGGAGAGUUUCGGGAGUAACAACAACAAUCGUGCUAGUGAUGAUGAUGAGUGCAGUAGCUAUGCGUUGAUUGUGCAUUACUUUCGUGUUCCUGACUACAUGCGCUAUGAUAGCAGCUACGCCUAUUACCGUUGGAAUUCGAUGACAGAUCUUCGGAGUUUGAAGAAAGUUGCGGUGGUGCUUGAAUGGGAGAUUCAUAACUCAUCCAUAACACUCCCUCGCUCAGGUCACUGCGUCAACACUAACAUUACAUCUGCAAAGAACAAUCACUCAGGUCGGAGAUGUUACUGCCUCGAAGACUCUUACGGCAAUCCCUACAUUGAAGGAGGCUGCAGCUACGCCAACGAUUAUGGUGACAACGGCGAAGGAAACAAAAACCGGUCAAAAUGGGCUAUAAUAGGUGUUUUCUCGAGUGUUGGAUCUAUCAUUUUUCUCCUUGGCUCAUGGCGGGUUUAUAAAGUUGUAAGGAGAAGAAUAGUACAGAACCGCAUAGAAAAAAACUUCAAAAAGAAUGGAGGUUUGCUGCUAGAAAAAAGGAUGUCUUCUGGCGAAGUUAAUGUUGACAAAGUUAAACACUUUACCUUAAAGGAGUUAGAGAAGGCCACUGAUAACUUCAACAUGAACAGAGUUCUCGGUAAGGGAGGACAAGGCACCGUCUACAAAGGAAUGCUUGUAGAUGGAAAAAUUGUUGCAGUCAAAAAAUUUAGAGUCCACGGAAAUGUUGAAGAAUUCAUUAACGAAUUCGUCAUUCUUUCACAAAUUAACCAUAGAAAUGUGGUUAAGUUGUUAGGAUGUUGUUUGGAGAAAGAAAUUCCUUUGCUUGUUUAUGAGUUCAUUCCUAAUGGCAAUCUUUAUGAAUAUUUGCAUGGCCAAAAUGAGGACUUGCCAAUGACAUGGGAUAUGCGUUUGAGAAUUGCAUCUGAGAUUGCAGGAGCUUUGUUUUACUUACACUCUGCUGCUUCUCAACCAAUUUAUCACAGAGAUGUGAAGUCAACAAAUAUUUUGUUGGAUGGAAAGUACAGAGCAAAAGUAGCUGACUUUGGAGCUUCAAGAAUGAUCUCCAUCGAAGAUACUCACCUCACCACAGUAGUUCAAGGGACUUUUGGAUAUCUGGAUCCUGAAUACUUUCAUACUAGUCAAUUGACAGAAAAGAGUGAUGUUUACAGUUUUGGAGUAGUUCUUCUUGAACUUUUGACAGGACAAAAGCCAUUAUCCUCCUUAAGACCCAACGAAGCAAAAAGUUUGGCUUCGUAUUUCGUUCUUUCUGUUGAGGAAGAUCGCUUGUUUGACAUUAUUGAUGAUAGGGUGACAAAAGAAGGAGACAAAGAACACAUAAUUGCUGUUGCGAAUCUUGCAUAUAGAUGCUUAGAGCUCAAUGGGAAAAGAAGGCCAACUAUGAAAGAAGUCACAAGAGAAUUGGAUGAGAUCUGGAAAUUGGAGAGGAAGUUUAAUAAUGCACAGCAACAUCGUCAUGAAGAAAUUGAGCAUCCUGCAAUUGAAUAUCACCAUGCUUGGGUUGCAAAUUCUGCUCCUGAUAUAAGUCCAAGCAACGUAACACUCACCUCAGAGUCAGAAGCUAUGCAUAUUCUUACCGAAUAAUUUGAAAUCAAAUGCUAUGCAGACCAGUGGUUCCAAAUAGAAUGCAGGCAAAUCUAUAGGGAUGGAGUCGUCCGUAAGGCUUCCUAGCAACUGUAAGGGGCAGCAAUGUUACAUCAUAUUCCAAGAACUCAUCCGGUCGGAGAUGUUACUGCCACGACUACUCCUCUGGCAAUCCCUACAUUCCACAAGGCUGCAGGCUCAAUGACGGUGUGGUGCACUUGAUUAUCCGAUUUUGGCAUAAAAUGGUCUGUUCCGCGUAGGCGCGUACUUUAAAGAAACACUUUGAAAGCUGGACAGGUGUCACAACUAGGAAGGAGGAAAGCAAGAAGUAGUUCAUAAGCUUCUUUGCGGUUAUUUGGAACGUCUAGUUGGAAAGGAAUCGGAAAUUGUUUCAGAAUAUAGGAAAAUGUGCUGGUGACGUUAUCAACAUGACUAUACUUAAUUAUAAGGAGUGGAGGUGCGAGGAUCCCUUUUGUUGUUGAUGGCAAUGCCGGAGAUGACAUGGGGAUGCGUAUUUGUUGAGCUUUCUAGGUGGUAACAAUAGGUAUUAUUUUAUUGUUGUCUAUAGUUUGUUUUUGCUUGUUUAUGUACCAAAUGCUCCACGUUUGUGUUGAGCUCUUCUUGUUUCAGAAAAAAACCAUAGAAACGUAGUCAAGUUGUUAGGAUGUUGUUUGGAGAAAGAAAUUCCUUUGCUUGUUUAUGAGUUCAUUCCCAAUGGCAAUCUUUAUGAAUAUUUGCAUGACCAAAAUGAGGACUUGCAA